rnacentral:rRNA from 1 species
GAUGAACGCUGGCGGCGUGCCUAAUACAUGCAAGUCGAGCGAACGGACGAGAAGCUUGCUUCUCUGAUGUUAGCGGCGGACGGGUGAGUAACACGUGGAUAACCUACCUAUAAGACUGGGAUAACUUCGGGAAACCGGAGCUAAUACCGGAUGAUAUUUUGAACCGCAUGGUUCAAAAGUGAAAGACGGUCUUGCUGUCACUUAUAGAUGGGUCCGCGCUGCAUUAGCUAGUUGGUAAGGUAACGGCUUACCAAGGCAACGAUGCAUAGCCGACCUGAGAGGGUGAUCGGCCACACUGGAACUGAGACACGGUCCAGACUCCUACGGGAGGCAGCAGUAGGGAAUCUUCCGCAAUGGGCGAAAGCCUGACGGAGCAACGCCGCGUGAGUGAUGAAGGUCUUCGGAUCGUAAAACUCUGUUAUUAGGGAAGAUCAUAUGUGUAAGUAACUGUGCACAUCUUGACGGUACCUAAUCAGAAAGCCACGGCUAACUACGUG